rnacentral:rRNA from 1 species
UAAGGAAUAUUGGACAAUGGAGGCAACUCUGAUCCAGCCAUGCCGCGUGAAGGAAUAAGGACCUAUGGGUUGUAAACUUCUUUUAGACGGGACAAAACCCCUUUACGUGUAAAGGGUUGAUGGUACUGUCAGAAUAAGCAUCGGCUAACUUCGUGCCAGCAGCCGCGGUAAUACGAAGGAUGCAAGCGUUAUCCGGAAUUAUUGGGUUUAAAGGGUGCGUAGGCGGACUAAUAAGUCAGUGGUGAAAGCCUGCAGCUUAACUGCAGAAUUGCCAUUGAUACUGUUAGUCUUGAGUACAGUUGAGGUAGGCGGAAUGUGUCAUGUAGCGGUGAAAUGCUUAGAUAUGACACAGAACACCGAUUGCGAAGGCAGCUUGCUAAGCUGUAACUGACGCUGAGGCACGAAAGCGUGGGGAGCAAACA